CCUACGGGUGGCAGCAGUGGGGAAUAUUGGGCAAUGGGCGCAAGCCUGACCCAGCAACGCCGCGUGAAGGAAGAAGGCUUUCGGGUUGUAAACUUCUUUUAAGAGGGAAGAGCAGAAGACGGUACCUCUUGAAUAAGCCACGGCUAACUACGUGCCAGCAGCCGCGGUAAUACGUAGGUGGCAAGCGUUGUCCGGAUUUACUGGGUGUAAAGGGUGCGCAGGCGGCCUGUUAAGUCAGCGGUAAAAGCCCGGGGCUCAACCCCGGCGAGCCGUUGAAACUGGCGGGCUGGAGUUGGAGAGAAGUACGCGGAAUGCGCGGUGUAGCGGUGAAAUGCUUAGAUAUCGCGCAGAACCCCGAUUGCGAAGGCAGCGUACCGGCUCCACACUGACGCUGAGGCACGAAAGCGUGGGUAUCGAACAGGAUUAGAUACCCUUGUAGUC
rnacentral:rRNA from 1 species